rnacentral:tRNA from 1 species
UGAUAAGAAGUGGACUCGCUCCCCUGUAGGCGAGUCUACAGCUCGCCGCCUAUUCUCGGCCAUCUUACC